rnacentral:lncRNA from 1 species
CCAUCUGGUUGGGACUUAUGAUAGAGGGACUGUAUCAUGCGUUAACUGCACCUAGAGGUUCAUCGUUUAUUCUGCUGGAUUGCUACUACAUACUACUAGAUAUCACUGAUAGAUUGUGAGACUCACAAGGAUCAUCUUGAUGAUCAAUGAUUCUUGGUGGGUUGAGUUAAAAUUAUUCCAAUCCAUUAAAAAGUAUUUCAAUGAUAUUGUGAUAGACAUCACAAUA